UAGGUUGUAGCUCAGUGGUAGAGCCCUUGCCUUGCAGGCAUGGGAACACUGGGUUCAAUCCUCAGCAUCACAU
rfam:Ictidomys tridecemlineatus contig003153, whole genome shotgun sequence.